UACGAAGGGGGCUAGCGUUGCUUGGAAUGACUGGGCGUAAAGGGCGCGUAGGCGGCUUGCACAGUCAGGCGUGAAAUUCCUGGGCUCAACCUGGGGACUGCGCUUGAGACGUGUGGGCUUGAGUGGGGAAGAGGGUCGUGGAAUUCCCAGUGUAGAGGUGAAAUUCGUAGAUAUUGGGAAGAACACCGGUGGCGAAGGCGGCAUCCUGGACCGACACUGACGCUGAGGCGCGAAAGCCAGGGGAGCAAACGGG
rnacentral:rRNA from 1 species